ensembl:snoRNA
UGGAUCAAUGAUGAGUACCCCGGGGUGUCUGGAUUAAAGAUUUUGAUUAAGCUCUGUAACUCUAAUGUCAUU